CCUACGGGAGGCAGCAGUAGGGAAUAUUGGACAAUGGGUGCGAGCCUGAUCCAGCCAUGCCGCGUGCAGGAAGAAGGCCUUCUGGGUUGUAAACUGCUUUUGCCGGGGGAUAAAAGACCCAUGCGUGGGGAAUUGAAGGUACCCGGUGAAUAAGCCACGGCUAACUACGUGCCAGCAGCCGCGGUAAUACGUAGGUGGCGAGCGUUGUCCGGAUUUAUUGGGUUUAAAGGGUGCGUAGGCGGCCCCGUAAGUCAGUGGUGAAAUACGGCAGCUCAACUGUCGAGGUGCCAUUGAUACUGCGGGGCUUGAGUACAGUCGAGGUAGGCGGAAUUGACGGUGUAGCGGUGAAAUGCUUAGAUAUCGUCAAGAACACCGAUAGCGAAGGCAGCUUGCUAGGCUGUAACUGACGCUGAGGCACGAAAGUGCGGGGAUCAAACAGGAUUAGAUACCCUGGUAGUCCGCACAGUAAACGAUGGUCACUCGGUGUUGGCGGUACACGGCCNGCGCUAGNGAAGACGUAGUGACCACCNGGAGACGCCGCGAGGAGAACGACGAAGAAGUAGAGCGNGAGAGNGCGAGACGACGACGAGGGAGAGG
rnacentral:rRNA from 1 species